rnacentral:lncRNA from 1 species
GUUAGAGCCUGACUUACCUACUGAUCUUUGUGCUGGCAUUAAAGAAGAUGGGAGGACUACUGUGACUGGUAGGCCAACCAGAAUCAGGUAAUUGUUGGAGAAAGAUGGCUUGGAAAUCUAUCAAUUCCCUGGUAAUCUGCAGGCCACUGUAGCAUAGAGUGUCUUCUUGGGAAUAACGAAAUGGCACCUGCUCCAAAUGGAGAAGGAGCAAAUGUCAAAAUACUUCAGGAGUGGUCUUGCGCCAGAAUUCCUUUGUGGCUCCAUGAUGUAGAGGUAUCUGGAGGCAUUGGCUUACUUUUCUAUUCAUUUCACUUUUGUUUUAGAAGACAUUCUUGA